rnacentral:rRNA from 1 species
UGCGUAGGCGGUCAGCACAAGUCAGUUGUGAAAUCUCCGGGCUUAACUCGGAAAGGUCAACUGAUACUGUGCGACUAGAGUGCAGAAGGGGCAACUGGAAUUCUUGGUGUAGCGGUGAAAUGCGUAGAUAUCAAGAGGAACACCUGCGGCGAAGGCGGGUUGCUGGGCUGACACUGACGCUGAUGCGCGAAACGCCGAGGGGAGCGGAACG